rnacentral:rRNA from 1 species
UACGAAGGACCCGAGCGUUAUCCGGAUUCAUUGGGUUUAAAGGGUGCGUAGGCGGAUUGAUAAGUCAGUGGUGAAAGCCCAUCGCUUAACGAUGGAACUGCCAUUGAUACUGUCGAUCUUGAGUACAUUUUGAAGUGGGCGGAAUGUGUCAUGUAGCGGUGAAAUGCUUAGAUAUGACACAGAACACCGAUUGCGAAGGCAGCUCACUAAACUGUAACUGACGCUGAGGCACGAAAGCGUGGGGAUCAAACAGG